rnacentral:rRNA from 1 species
CUACGGGUCGCUGCAGUGGGGAAUAUUGCACAAUGGGCGCAAGCCUGAUGCAGCCAUGCCGCGUGUAUGAAGAAGGCCUUCGGGUUGUAAAGUACUUUCAGCGGGGAGGAAGGGAGUAAAGUUAAUACCUUUGCUCAUUGACGUUACCCGCAGAAGAAGCACCGGCUAACUCCGUGCCAGCAGCCGCGGUAAUACGGAGGGUGCAAGCGUUAGUCGGAAUUACUGGGCGUAAAGCGCACGCAGGCGGUUUGUUAAGUCAGAUGUGAAAUCCCCGGGCUCAACCUGGGAACUGCAUCUGAUACUGGCAGGCUAGAGUCUCGUAGAGGGGAGUAGAAUUCCAGGUGUAGCGGUGAAAUGCGUAGAGAUCUGGAGGAAUACCGGUGGCGAAGGCGGCCCCCUGGACGAAGACUGACGCUCAGGUGCGAAAGCGUGGGGAGCAAACAGGAUUAGAUACCCCCGUAGUC